rnacentral:rRNA from 1 species
AGUGAACGCUGGCGGUAGGCCUAACACAUGCAAGUCGAACGGCAGCACAGUAAGAGCUUGCUCUUACGGGUGGCGAGUGGCGGACGGGUGAGGAAUACAUCGGAAUCUACUUUUUCGUGGGGGAUAACAUAGGGAAACUUACGCUAAUACCGCAUACGACCUACGGGUGAAAGCAGGGGAUCUUCGGACCUUGCGCGAUUGAAUGAGCCGAUGUCGGAUUAGCUAGUUGGCGGGGUAAAGGCCCACCAAGGCGACGAUCCGUAGCUGGUCUGAGAGGAUGACCAGCCACACUGGAACUGAGACACGGUCCAGACUCCUACGGGAGGCAGCAGUGGGGAAUAUUGGACAAUGGGCGCAAGCCUGAUCCAGCCAUACCGCGUGGGUGAAGAAGGCCUUCGGGUUGUAAAGCCCUUUUGUUGGGAAAGAAAAGCAGCAGGUUAAUACCCCGCUGUUCUGACGGUACCCAAAGAAUAAGCACCGGCUAACUUCGUG